rnacentral:rRNA from 1 species
UACGUAGGGGGCAAGCGUUAUCCGGAUUUACUGGGCGUAAAGGGCGUGCAGGUGGUUUUCUAAGUGGUGCGUGAAAGCCCUCGGCUCAACCAAGGAAGUGCAUCCGAAACUGCUGAGCUUGAGUACUUAAGAGGAUCGCGGAAUUCCCGGUGUAGAGGUGAAAUUCGUAGAUAUCGGGAGGAACACCAGUGGCGAAGGCGGCGAUCUGGGAAGAUACUGACGCUGAGGUGCGAAAGCGUGGGGAGCAAACAGG